CAUCCUACGGGACGCAGCAGUGGGGAAUAUUGCACAAUGGGCGAAAGCCUGAUGCAGCAACGCCGCGUGAAGGAAGAAGGGUUUCGGCUCGUAAACUUCUAUCAACAGGGACGAAAGAAAUGACGGUACCUGAAUAAGAAGCCCCGGCUAACUACGUGCCAGCAGCCGCGGUAAUACGUAGGGGGCAAGCGUUAUCCGGAGUUACUGGGUGUAAAGGGUGAGUAGGCGGCAUGGUAAGCCAGAUGUGAAAGCCUUGGGCUUAACCCGAGGAUUGCCUUUGGAACUAUCGAGCUGGAGUACAGGGG
rnacentral:rRNA from 1 species